CGUAUAGCGAAAUCGUGUAUAUCGAGUAUGGCGUAUAUCGGGGAAUACCUGUAUAGUCACACGAGAAAGGCGCUGCUUCGCGUUCACAUGAAAAUGUGGUAGUGUGAAAUCAAGUUUGCAAGCAGUAGGACACGUCGGUGUGUGUCCGUUUUUUUCUCUCGUGAAACCAGUACGGAAAAACUAUUUGAAAUCGUAACACACGCACGAACGGAAGUGAGCACGGACCACGACAGAAGCAAUAUUCAAUUGGUUGGAGUGCCGAAAACAGAAGAGGAGAUGAAAGAAGGCAGGAACGAUCCGAUCCUCCAACGUGCUAGCGCCGGGUAGAGGAGAAGCGGCA